rnacentral:rRNA from 1 species
UACGGAGGGUGCAAGCGUUAUCCGGAUUCACUGGGUUUAAAGGGUGCGUAGGCGGGUUGGUAAGUCCGUUGUGAAAUCCCCAAGCUUAACUUGGGAACUGCCGUGGAUACUAUCAAUCUUGAAUAUCGUGGAGGUAAGCGGAAUAUGUCAUGUAGCGGUGAAAUGCUUAGAUAUGACAUAGAACACCAAUUGCGUAGGCAGCUUACUACACGAUCAUUGACGCUGAGGCACGAAAGCGUGGGGAGCAAACAGG